AGUGAACGCUGGCGGUAGGCCUAACACAUGCAAGUCGAACGGCAGCACAGUAAGAGCUUGCUCUUACGGGUGGCGAGUGGCGGACGGGUGAGGAGUACAUCGGAAUCUACUUUUUCGAGGGGGCUAACGUAGGGAAACUUACGCUAAUACCGCAUAGGACCUACGGGUGAAAGCAUGGGAUCUUCGGACCUUGCGCGAUUGAAUGAGCCGAUGUCGGAUUAGCUAGUUGGCGGGGUAAAGGCCCACCAAGGCGACGAUCCGUAGCUGGUCUGAGAGGAUGAUCAGCCACACUGGAACUGAGACACGGUCCAGACUCCUACGGGAGGCAGCAGUGGGGAAUAUUGGACAAUGGGCGAAAGCCUGAUCCAGCCAUGCCGCGUGGGUGAAGAAGGUCUUCGGAUUGUAAAGCCCUUUUGUUUGGGAAGAAGGGCAGCAAGUUAAUACCUCGCUGUUCUGACGGUACCCAAAGAAUAAGCACCGGCUAACUUCGUG
rnacentral:rRNA from 1 species